AGCAGCCGCGGUAAUUCCAGCUCCAAUAGCGUAUAUUAAAGUUGUUGCAGUUAAAAAGCUCGUAGUUGAAUUUCGGGAUCAGUUGGUCGGUCGUGCCUCGGUACGUACUGGUCAAAUUGAUUCCUACCUUCUGACGAACCACGAUGUCAUUAAUUUGGUGUCGUGGGAAAUCAGGACUGUUACUUUGAAAAAAUUAGAGUGUUUAAAGCAGGCUCGCGCUUGAAUACAUUAGCAUGGAAUAAUGAAAUAGGACGUUUGAUUCUAUUUUGUUGGUUUCUAGGAUCGACGUAAUGAUUAAUAGGGAUAGUUGGGGGCAUUAGUAUUCAAUUGUCAGAGGUGAAAUUCUUGGAUUUAUUGAAGACUAACUACUGCGAAAGCAUUUGCCAAGGAUGUUUUCAUUAAUCGAGAACGAAAGUUAGGGGAUCGAAGACGAUCAGAUACCGUCGUAGUCUUAACCAUAAACUAUGCCGACUAGGGAUCGGAUGAUGUUAAUUUUUUAAUGACUCAUUCGGCGCCUUAC
rnacentral:misc_RNA from 1 species